AUGAAAUGUUUCAUCAUUAGUAUACAGUCCCUUAUCUAAAUUUGUUUACCUUUUUCAUUAAAAGGCAUUCAGGUUACCUUUUGUCAGUUUGUUUAUUUUGAUUGAAUUUUUGAUCUAUUGUUCUAAUCAAAAUGUCUAAAGACGAACCUCAAAUUUUCAACAUUGCUAAUAAGACUCGACCAACAAGGUGGGACAAGCGUAUCUUGACCAUGUACAAAGUUUAUCCAACUCAACAAGAAAUUCCUGAUUUUGUAUCGCGCAAUACGAUAACUUUCUAUCGCAACAAAUUUCGUGUUCAUUACUCAAUAGCUACAAUGGCGCUGAUCGGUUUAGCCUUUUUCGGCACUUCCUAUGCUGGAAAUAGGUUUCUAAAGAUUAAAAAUGAAAGAGUGCUGCUUGAAUAUUAUGCUCAGCAAAAGGAACUGGAGAAUAAAAAGAGUACAUAAUAUUUAUGGUUCAAAGUGACAAUUUUCUGUAAUUGAUGCAACAGUAAAUUUGUAAUUAGAUAAAACUAUUGUCUUUAAUCAUUAAAUAAUUGAAUAGAACGUCAAAAA